AGUGAACGCUGGCGGUAGGCCUAACACAUGCAAGUCGAACGGCAGCACAGUAAGAGCUUGCUCUUACGGGUGGCGAGUGGCGGACGGGUGAGGAAUACAUCGGAAUCUACUUUUUCGUGGGGGAUAACGUAGGGAAACUUACGCUAAUACCGCAUACGACCUACGGGUGAAAGCAGGGGAUCUUCGGACCUUGCGCGAUUGAAUGAGCCGAUGUCGGAUUAGCUAGUUGGCGGGGUAAAGGCCCACCAAGGCGACGAUCCGUAGCUGGUCUGAGAGGAUGAUCAGCCCCACUGAAACUGAGAAACGGUCCAGACUCCUACGGGAGGCAGCAGUGGGGAAUAUGGACAAUGGGCGCAAGCCUGAUCCAGCCAUACCGCGUGGGUGAAGAAGGCCUUCGGGUUGUAAAGCCCUUUUGUUGGGAAAGAAAAGCAGCAGGUUAAUACCCCGCUGUUCUGACGGUACCCAAAGAAUAAGCACCGGCUAACUUCGUG
rnacentral:rRNA from 1 species